rnacentral:lncRNA from 1 species
ACCAGUCUUCUUCUCCCUUCCCUGAUCCCUGGGCAUCAGCAUCAUGGGCCCAGGUGGCCUUGGGCCAGGGAUGGCGUAGGCCAGUCAAGGCCUCACCCAGACGUCACCACCCCCUUCUUACAGUCCGCCAGCUCCUCAGGAGUGGAGUCAGCCCCGACCUGGCCAAUGAGGAUGGGCUGACAGCACUGCACCAGGUCAGCCUGUGUGCGGGGUGGGCAGGGCAGGGGCUGGCAGGGCUCAGGCCACUCAGGCUGUGUGUUUGCAGUGCUGCAUUGAUGAUUUCCGAGAGAUGGUGCAACAGCUCCUGGAGGCUGGGGCUGACGUCAAUGCCCGUGACAGCGAGUGCUGGACCCCCCUGCAUGCUGCAGCCACCUGUGGCCACCUGCACCUGGUGGAGCUUCUCAUUGCCCGGUAGUGUCCAUUGGGCCUUUAUCAUGGAGGGGCUUUCUCACAGAUGGCAGCUCAUGUGGCUAUUCUGUGAAGCUGGUCAGGUCCUGGCUUCCUGUGUCCUCACCUCUGUCCAUCCUGCUUGAGACCCCUGGGGGAUAGUUUGGGCCCACCUGGUAGGCUGGACCACCAGCUCUGGAUGGAGGGCCUUCUCAUGGUCUCCCCUGAGAAAUGCCAUUCUGGUUAGGGUUGAGGGUAGAACGAAUAAGGGGGUAAGGGGAGCAGAGAGGCCAGGUGGGUCUCGGAGGGUGUGCGUGGGUAUCGGUGAGGACUUUUCUCCAACAGGAAGGAAGGUGGAGUGGGGAGUGGUGGUAAGCCCUGUAACUCCAGCUACUUGGGAGGCUGCGACAGGAGGAUCUCAAGUUCAAGGCCAGCCUGGGCAACUUAGAUCUUAUCUCAAAGAUUAAAAAAAAAUGUUUUGGUGGUAUUGGGGAUUAAACUCAGGAUCUCAGGCUAGGCAGCCAUUCUACCACUAAGCUAUAUCCCCAGCCCUUUAAAGUAAAAAAAGAAAAAAUAAAAAAGUAACAAUUAAUGAAAGGACUGAGGAUGUAGCUCAGCUUUUGCCAAGGGUGGACGUGGCUUUGGGUUCAAUCCCUAGUUACACACACACACACACACAUAAAUAAAUAAAUAAAUAGGACUGGGGAUUUUACUUAGUGUUAAAGCACAUCUGGGCUCAGUCCCCAGUACUGGGGGAUGGGAGGAGGAUGGAGCAGAGGAGGUUAGUGGCUUCCUCAGGUUCAGGAGCCUGUCCUUCCUCCCCCCAUCCUGGGCCUCUCCAGUAGAUCAGAGAUCCUCGUGUGGGUGACUGGCUGUUGCCAUCACACAUAAGUGCCUCCUCUGAGUAGAGCAGUAGCCAUGCAGCAAACAGGCCCCCAGGCUCCCCUUGGAGCUGGUGACAGGCUGCAGGUGGGUUCCAAACCUUAGGCAGCCCCUCUGUGUCCUUUGCUCCCCCCAGCUCCCCUUCCCCCAGGCCUGCUUCCCCUGAUCUGUGGGCUCAAAAUCAGCAACUGCUUGGCUUUCUUGCUUCACUUCUCCCUGGGGUCCCCAGAGUGCUGCGUACCUCCUGCAGGUGUACCCUGUAUUUAUGGGGGACAGACGGGUGCCUUGGGCCUUGAAGCCCAGAUGGGUAGACUGCAGGAUGGCCUGUCUGCCUGAGGAACAAGAUCCAGAGCUGAGGGCCUUCCAGAUGAGCCCAGAGGCUUCCUCUCCCAACAGCAGCUAGAACCUACGAGUCCUCCCCAUGUCUGCUGGCACUUCCUGAAGGCAGUCCGAGGCUCAGGGAGGACUUGCUGAAAGGGGACUGAGCAGCCGGCAGCUCUCAUCCGUCCUCCCUGCAGGGGUGCUGAUCUCCUGGCAGUCAACACUGAUGGGAACAUGCCUUAUGACCUGUGUGAGGAUGAGCAGACACUGGACUGCCUGGAGACUGCCAUGGCCCACAGGGGUGAGUGUGCUGUGCCUGCCUGCUCGGGUGGGCCUGGGCAUUCCGUCUCUGAGCCUGCUGCUCCACAGGCAUCACCCAGGACAGCAUUGAGGAGGCCCGGGCCGUGCCAGAGCUGCUCAUGCUGAAGGACCUCCAGAGCCUUCUGCAUGUUGGGGCUGACCUCAAUGACCCGCUGGACCAUGGAGCCACACUGGUGAGGACUUGGCCACGUGGAGGGGGUCUGUUCAGGGGCUGGGGGCUUGUUGGGUGGGUGUGGGACUGGGAUUCAGGGCGGGGUGGCCUGCCUGCAGCUGCACAUGGCCGCCGCCAGUGGGUUCAGUGAGGCAGCUGCCCUGCUGCUGGAGCAUGGAGCCAGCCUGACUGCCAAGGACCUCGACGGCUGGGAGCCGCUGCACGCUGCCGCCUACUGGGGACAGGUGAGUGUGGUCAGGAGCAGAUGCUGAGCGGGCUCUUGGCUGCGGCUCAAGCCCUCAGCAGCCCCCACUGGCUGGCCUGCAGGUGCACCUGGUGGAGCUGCUUGUGGCAAACGGGGCCGACCUGAAUGGGAGAUCCCUGACGGAUGAGACACCCCUUGGUGAGCUCCAGGGCUGCCUCCACCUGGGGGAAGGGACAGGCAGGGAGGGCCCCUGUGACGCUUGUGGUCAUCUCUCAGAUGUCUGUGGUGAUGAGGAGGUGCGGGCCAGGCUGCUGCAGCUGAAGCAGAAGCAGGAGGCACUCUUGCGAGCCCAGGGCCGCCAGCGCUCCCUGCUGCGCCGCCGCGCCUCCAGUGCAGGCAGCCGCGGGUGAGCUGCCCCACAGUCCAUGCCCAGCCCCCACCCCGGCUGUGCCUCAGGAUGGAUGGGAUGUCAGCCUGCAGGUGGAGCUGCCAGCACAACUAGGCCGGGUCUGAGGGACAGCUGGUGUCCCCUCUCACCUCCACCACACCCCGGCCUUCCAGGAAAGUGGUGAGGCGAGUGAGCCUGACCCAGCGCACCGACCUGUACCGCCAGGAGCAUGCCCAGGAGGCCAUCGUGUGGCAGCAGCCACCACCCCCAAGUCCAGAGCCGCUGGAGGAGGAUGAGGACCACCAGACAGACGCAGAGCUCUGGCUGCCACCCCCAGAGGUGAGAGUCCUGGCCUUGUGCUACCCACCUUCCACGUGGCUUUGGCAUGGGUCCUAGGCUGUGACCUGGCAUCAGUAUGUGAGUUUCCCAUUCACACUGGUCCAGUGUGGAGCUGGGAGGACCAGUGACCUUGUGCCCCUAGGUGGGCCAUGCUCCUCAGGGCUGGGCUGUUGUCCCCCUGCCCCUCACGGUUGUUCUUCUACAACCAGGUAGCCUAGAUCCUGAGGCCAGGGCAAGUAAGAGGAGCUGCCUCCUGACAGCCUUGGGCCCUGAUUCUGCCCACAGGAAGAUGACCCUGAGGUGGCCAGGUCCCACAAUGGCCGAGUAGGGGGCCCCCCAGGGCGGCACCUAUACUCCAAGCGGCUGGACCGGAGUGUGUCGUACCAGCUGAGCCCUGUGGAGAGUACCACCCCAGACACCCUUGUCCGGGACAAGGCCCACCACACCUUGGCCGAACUCAAACGCCAGCGGGCUGCUGCCAAGCUCCUGCGACCACAGCCUGAGGGGCCUGAGGCCCCUGAAUCUGGCUUGUCUGCUGACCCCGUGUCCUCCCAGCCGGACUGCGGCUUCAGGGCAGGCGGGGACCCACCCCUGCUCAAGCUCACAGCCCCAUCUGAGGAGGCCCCGAUGGAGAAGAGGCCAUGCUGCUUGCUCAUGUGAGGGGCUGUACCCAUUUCCAGGCCAGCCCGAGGCUUGCCCUGGAGGCCCACUCAGGGUGUGCCCUGGAACUGCAGGUGGGCAGACACCAGAGUCUUCCCCAGCUUCUACCCCUCAGGACAGUGGACUCUCUGUUGGGGAUGGACUUUAGGCAGAGCCGUAUCUGCAGGCAUCUGCUGCAGAGUGUUUGUCCUGUGACGCUUGAUAAAGGGGUGUUUGUCGUCAAGCCUUCCAGUGUCUCCGCUGGGGAGGGGCAGGCGGUGCUGCUGGACAGGUGCCGCCCAUGCCCUCGAGCAAGCACUCAGGCCUGUAGGUGCGUGCUGGGGCUCGCAAGUAGAGGCCUGGCCCCUGUGUGGGAGGGAGGCCCAAGGGCCACUGGGCAAGAAGCCUGGCCUUCCCCACACCCUCCCUGCCAUAUUCGACUUCCUGGAAGCACUGUUAACUCUUUGUUUUCCUGAGGGCAGUAGGGUACUUCAGAAGGAAGCUCUUUUCGGGCCAGAGCUGAGGGGGACCAUACCAAGGGGCAGGAGUCCUGACCUGCCAAGGGAGGGCGUAUUUUUUCCAGGAUUCCUGGGCCAGAGCCAGUAGAGCAAAUCUGGCACGGCCGGCAUCAGGCACUUCCCAGGGGCAGUGGUUCCCCAAUUCGUGGCCUGUUGCCCUGAUCCUGGGCCCUGGCUGACAACUUGUGCCUGGGCUGGUGUAGGUGACAAGCACUUGGCCACUCAGGCGCCGAGCUGGCUGGGUACAAUGUGUAAGGAUGAAGGGGCCCUUAGGGGACUCAAGCUGGAGGGCUGAGGGCACUGCCAGAUCAUCUCUCUGUCCACAGUAGGCAGCCCUGCAUGGCCACCCGCACUGGGUGGUAUGAGUUUAGGCUACCCUCCUCUCCUUGCUGGGUACUGACCUGGUCUGCUCAGUGUCCAGGGCCCGCCUGCCCUUCUAGCAUCUGUGGUUGGAGGGUUGCUGCCCUUAGCAGGUCUGGGGGAGGGCCAGGGGCUAGCUGCUGGUUAAAUUUAGUGAGUGGGGCGGUACCUCUGCCUAAGGUCCACCUACCACCACAGCUGCCACUUGGGCCCUGAUGCCAGAAGUCAGGCAGUGGCUGGCUCUGACUGGGGCCGGGCUCAUAUUAACCUGUCCUCUGAUGUGAGGGCCAAAGGACAGGCCUGUGAAUUGGGAGGCCAUUGUGGCAGCAGAACUGAGAGGUGCAAGUUGAGAGAGGUAUGUGUGUGUGUGUCUGUGUGCAUGUGUGCGCGCGCGUGCAUUCCCCACUUAGAACUCCUGGUGGCUUCUCUCCCAAUCUGCAGAAACAGAGGAGCCAAGGCUCCCCUUCCGUCUAACCAGCUGCUACUGCCCAGCUCAGAGGGCUGGCUUCCCGACUGUCAGUUCACCCUUGGAUCUGGCUGGCCUGGCAGCCUGCAGAGGCAAACCCUGGGAAUGGCCUGUGAGCCUGUGGAGGUGGGGUUCUGGGGGCCUAUUGCAGUUUACUUCCUGCUCUCUCCACCAAUCAGGAAGGAGGGAAGGUGACAGGCUACCCACCCCCAUGGCUGGGGUGUGGCCCCAAGGGCAACCCCAGGCUCCUGUGUGUUGAAAGGGUAUGAGGGCCACCUGGGGCAAGGGGUUCGCCUGCCCUGUCUGCAGCCCUCCUCCUCCCUCCAGCCCCUUGCAAUGCUGAUCAGGGACCAAGGUCCAGCUGCAGUGUUCUUGUAGUCUCUGGGCCAUGGCCAUUGCCCUGGUGGAACUCAGAGUCUCUACUCCUCACUCGUCCCCCCCAGCCCCCCCAGCAUUCCUAAGGUCUGGCUGUCACCUAGGAGACAGGUCUGUCUGCUGGCCUAAGAAAAGAUGGGGGUGCCAAGAGGGCUAGGCCUCAGCAGUGCCCUGCUGAGGUAAAUCCAGUGGCUACUGGCUGCAGUCUCACCUUAGGGGUCACCCCUACCCAACUCUGCCAACCUCUCAGGUCCACUAGGCCCAGGCAUUGAGCCCUUCCCUCCCCCAACACCAAGGCCGUCUCUCCCUACCCCCCAUGUGGGUCUCCUGCGCUCCUGUCAUGGGGACACUGGGCGGGCACUGGGACUCACCCCAAGCCCCGCCUGCUGCCUCACCCACGCCCUCUGCCUCCCUGGGGCAGAACUGUGCCCAGACUAUGGGGUGGAGCCGAGGCGGCUCCAGCUCCUGCAGCCCUUUCUGUCCCUUUCAUUGGAGCCAGUAGGCUGCAGUGAAGCGGGUGUCCUCUUACGUUGAGCUCCCAAGCCUGGACCCUGCUGCCCCCACCACCACCUCUGGGCCUGCCACCUCCUGAGCCACCUUCCUGCCUGAUCUGAGCAGAGUCAUGGCCUUGAGAGUAGGUGACCAGAGCCGGGCUGCACGGAAUGGGCUGAGGGAGAAGGUGCUGACACUGGACUCCAUGAACCCGUGUGUGCGCAAGGUGGAGUACGCCGUGCGUGGCCCCAUAGUGCUGCGGGCCUUGGAGCUGGAGCAGGAGCUGCGCCAGGUACGGUCCCGAGGCCCUGCUACCCUCCUGCUGUUCCUGGGCUACUAGAUCAGCCUCUGGCCCAGUGGCACUUGGGACUAGGGCUGUGGGGGUAAUGGUGCCCAAUCUGGCUGCCUUCUCCCUUUCCCUCCCAGGGUGUGAAGAAACCCUUCACCGAGGUCAUCCGUGCCAACAUUGGAGAUGCACAGGCCAUGGGGCAGAGGCCCAUCACUUUCUUCCGCCAGGUGAGGCUCCUGUACUGCCUGUGUCCCCUGGCUCCAGCCAUCAGUGUGCCCUGACCUCAUCAUUCCGUCCGCCCAGGUCUUGGCCCUCUGUGUCCACCCAGAUCUCUUGCACAGCCCUGACUUCCCUGAGGAUGCCAAACGAAGGGCUCAGCGCAUCUUGCAGGCAUGCGGGGGCCACAGCCUGGGUGAGUGCUGGUGCCAGGCGGGGACCAAGCCCCAGGAAGAAGCAGAGAAGGGUGGAUCUCUUGGGAGGGUUGCGGGAGGACUAGCCACUUUCAUGGGUCUGCUCUGCUCUGCUUGCCGGAGUCCAGGGGCCUAUAGCAUCAGCUCUGGCAUCCAGCUGAUCCGUGAGGAUGUUGCACGGUACAUCGAGAGGCGAGAUGGAGGCAUCCCUGCUGACCCCAACAACAUCUUCCUGUCCACGGGUGCCAGUGAUGCCAUCGUGGUAGGCUGGGCCACGGCAGGACACAAUGGCUCUUCAACUGUGGUUCCACAGGGCAGGGGACGGGUGCAGCCCCUUGGCCCUGCCAACACUGCGCUCCUCCCCCUGCCCACAGACGGUGCUGAAGCUGCUGGUGGCUGGUGAGGGCCGCCGGCGUACAGGCGUGCUCAUCCCUGUCCCGCAGUACCCGCUCUACUCGGCCACUCUGGCCGAACUGGACGCUGUGCAGGUGGACUACUACCUGGAUGAGGAGCGCACUUGGGCACUCGAUGUGGCUGAGCUGCGGCGCAGGCUGUCUCAAGCACGUGACCACUGCUGCCCACGCGCGCUCUGCGUGAUCAACCCCGGCAACCCCACCGGUGCGCCACCUCCCUGCCCCACCUACCCUGACCCCUCCAGCUGCUACAUGCUCCUAGGCCUACCACAAUGGGUCAGUCAACCCCCACUGUCCAGAUGAGCAGGGGUGGGGUGGUGGGUGCCCGCAGUUGACCCUGGCCGCGCUGCUGUCCCCAGGGCAGGUGCAGACCCGGGAGUGCAUCGAGGCUGUGAUCCGCUUCGCAUUCGAAGAGGGACUCUUUCUGAUGGCUGAUGAGGUGCUUACAGGGAUGCGCAAGGGAGGGUGGCUGCGGGUCAGCGGCCGGCCGCGUGACGACAGCGCCCCUGCAGGUGUACCAGGACAACGUGUACGCAGAGGGCUCGCGCUUCUACUCCUUCAAGAAGGUGCUCACCGAGAUGGGCCCACCGUACUCCACGCAGCAGGAGCUUGCCUCCUUCCACUCAGCCUCCAAGGGCUACAUGGGCGAGUGCGUGUGGGCCGGUGGCGGGGGGGGGUUCUUGGACUCCAGCCACUUUCCUGCCCCCUUCUUCCCGGCUGGGCCUCGACCUUGACGCCUGCCCUACCUGGCAGGUGCGGGUUCCGCGGUGGCUACGUGGAGGUGGUGAACAUGGACCCCGAAGUGCAGCGGCAGAUGCUGAAGCUGAUGAGUGUGCGGCUGUGCCCGCCUGUGCCGGGCCAGGCCCUGCUGGACAUGGUGGUCAGCCCGCCAGCACCCUCUGACCCCUCCUUUGCGCAGUUCCAGGAGGUGAGGGAAAUGAGGCCAAGGGCAUCUGGCGAGCCAGUUGGGAAAAGGAUUGAGGGCUAUUGUGUCCCUGCCAUGCCCUGAUUGUCCCCUCCGUGGCUGCAGGAGAGGCAAAUGGUGCUAGCUGAGCUGGCGGCCAAGGCCAAGCUCACGGAGCAGGUCUUCAAUGAAACUCCUGGCAUCAGAUGCAACCCAGUGCAGGGUGCCAUGUACUCCUUCCCUCGAGUGCAGCUGCCCCCCCGGGCGGUCCAGCUUGCUCAGGUCUGGUGGGGCAGGGCAGGGUGGGGCGGAGGCCUGGGCAUAGAGCUCUGACCGCCCUCCACACCGCAGGAGCUCGGCCUGGCCCCAGACAUGUUCUUCUGCCAGCGCCUCCUGGAGGAGACCGGAAUCUGCGUGGUGCCUGGGAGCGGCUUUGGGCAACUGGAGGGCACCUAUCACUUCCGGUGAGACCAGGCCCGCACAGCCUGCCAGUGCCUGCUGUGCCCCCUUUGGCUUAUAGCUUGCCCUUUCCAGGAUGACCAUCCUGCCCCCCAUGGAGAAGCUUCGACUGCUGCUGGAGAAGCUGAGCCGUUUUCAUGCCAAGUUCACCCGGGAGUACUCCUGAGGCCACCACAGGGACCAGGCUGGGCUGCCUGGACUGACUUUGCCCAGGGACCUGGUGGUCUCUGGACCCCUCAGAACUUGCUGCUGCCCCUUGGGGGCUGGGCAUCUCUCUCUGCCAGUUCCUAAUAAAGCUGAGUGUGGUUAUGACUCUGGAGGGGUGAGCCCCACUUCCAUGGGUGAUGACUCCA